rnacentral:pre_miRNA from 1 species
AGUAAAAUUGCUGGAUCAUAUGAUAAGAAUAUGGUUAGUUCUGAAGAAAACUGCCAAAGUGUCUUCCACAAUGGCUAUACCAUUUGCAUUCCCACCAGCAAU